rnacentral:rRNA from 1 species
CGCAUCUGUGCAUGCAGCAUAUCAAUAAGCGGAGGAAAAGAAACUAACAAGGAUUCCCCUAGUAACGGCGAGUGAAGCGGGAAGAGCUCAAAUUUGAAAUCUUAAAGGGUUUCCCUUUACGAAUUGUAGUUUAAAGAAGUGUUUUCUGUUGAGGUUUUGGUAAAAGUUCUUUGGAAUAGGACAUCAUAGAGGGUGAGAAUCCCGUAUUUGACCUUUACUUUCAACUUUGUGAUACACUUUCAAAGAGUCGGAUUGUUUGGGAAUGCAGUCCAAAAUGGGUGGUAAAUUUCAUCUAAAGCUAAAUAUUGGCGAGAGACCGAUAGCGAACAAGUACCGUGAGGGAAAGAUGAAAAGAACUUUGAAAAGAGAGUUAAACAGUACGUGAAAUUGUCAAAAGGGAAGCGUUUGACACCAGUGUUGUUUUUCUGAAAAUCAAUUAAAGAACUGUUUAUGCUAAGUUGUUUAGACUUUAUCAGCUAACUGUUUAGUUUUGAGCUUUUCUUUAAUGCACUUUUCAGUUAACAAGUCAACAUCAAUUUCUUUUGCUGUAAAAAAGCUUGAGGAAGGUGGCUUGAGAUUCGUCUUAAGUGUUUAUAGCCUCUUGCCUAUGCAGUCGGAGAGAUUGAGGUCUGCAGCGUAGAUCCUUCGGGGCUAAAUGCAUUUGCGCUAAGUUAUAGCAUUUUAUAGACAACUUGUUGACUAUGAUUUGUCUUGUAGCUUACUCGCUUAUGUUAUUUUACCUACGCUUAGGAUGUUGAACGCGCACAGAGUCUC